CCGCCGCCGGGCGCACGGGCGGCUGGCCGGCCGACCGACCGACCGGCCGCGGCCGCCACCCCCGGCCGCACCGCCGGCACCCGAGAGGCAGGAGAGCCGGGCUGGCUGGAGCGGUGUGGCGCUGAGCGGCACUUCUUACGUAAAUAUUUCGUAGAAAAUUCAAAGAUGGUUCACUGCGACGGAGGCUAUUUCUGCGUGCAAAUCUCAGAUUGUUCGGGUUGAAGCUUAAGACAUUGUAAGGUGUGUGUGUGGGGGGGUUGUCUGCGUGCUGUAAAACCGUUUUUACUCCACUCUUCGCUAUUCGUUGCCUCUGAAAAAUUCUCUCAAGCUGAUAUAAAUGUAACGGUAGCGGUCAGUACUGGAGCAUCAAUUCUCUACAGAAUGUAGAAAUGUGUGUUUGUUGCAUUAGAUCAUGCUCUGUGCUAAAUUGGUAUUAAUAUGUAUGUGUGUGGAAUGGCUGCUGACUUGAUUCCUCUUACUAGGCAAGCUCAAAACCUGGCUGUUUGUGGAUGAAAUCCAAUUUCCAUUCAAAGCUCCCUGGGAGGCUCAGCCUUAGUUUUAGUAAUCACUUACCAUUAAUACUGCCCCAAACCAUUUUUAGUACUUAAAAUAGAAAUUUCUUGUACAAUACAUAAUAUAGCACAUCACCUCCACUUACGAAUUAUAAGCCAGAUACAUAAUGCAUUAGAGGAUAUUAAAAGGUGGGCACUUUAACAUCUAAACAGGCUCUGCCCAAAAGUGUUCACAAAUUAAGAACUUGAUCCAGCACAGUGCAUAGGAAACUUUCAAUGACUUCUUUGGGAAUUGUGUCCCAGGAAUGCGAUAUCUAGGCUCCUCGCAGGCAGAUGAAAUAGAUGCGGCAGAUUCAGUAACAAUUUGAUAGCAUAUAUGGUCAGAAAAAUGAUUGUAUAAAAAUGGAACUUUCUUACUCAUCAUAUAGCCUUUGUAUCUAAGAUACUCUGACUCAUAAUUGCUUAGUUUACUGACUGAAAUAAAAUUUUAGGCUUCUGUUACCUUGGCAGUUGCUGACACAAUUAUGGCACAGCAAGCUGGGGACUGGUUCUAGCUCUUACAUUUUCUUUACUAAGUUCCAGUUGAAGAAUUUUAAUUAGUAUUUGAGCCAGAAAGAGCACAGCACGACUUGAAAAUUUCAGGUCCAGUUUGUAGGGUCAUCAGUCCUAAGAGGCCUCUUUUGAUUUGUAAACUAAGCAAAAGACUUAUAGAAAAUGUUGAAGACAAAAAUAAAAACCCCACAAUGCUUGAAUGAAGCCAUCUUGAGUCAAUUUCCGCAGUGGAACUGGAUAAAUUAUAACACUGCUCCCUUUAUCUCGCUGAAUAUGUCCCAUUCAUCUGUAGUAACGUUGAAUCAAACAAUUCUCUUGUUUUAAGACCACAUCUGUUUUACUGUGCACCCCACACCAAUUUUAAUUAUGUGGCAGAUCUGAUUGGAUUCAGCACCUGCAAGUCUUCCCUUUGGGAGCUCCAAUUAGCUUAUAAAACAUUUACUUGAUUGCGUUCUUUAAACAAAAGUAUUGUUUCAUCCUAACAACAGGAAUACUGAAGUGUAGAAUAAAAAAGGGUUUUAACGUGAUAAGCAGUGUGUAUGUUGUUUGUGUAUCUGUCUUCCAUAAGCUUAGAGGAAAAAGUGGUAAUCCUGAAACCUAAUUUCCUCAGACUCAGCAGAUGUCUGUCCUGCGUUAGUCUGUUUCUUUACUAACAGCUGUUUCACAAGUGCCUCCCCUUGUCUCUACAGAAUGCCUUUUGUUUAACAAUUUCCUGAUACCUUAUCUCCUAGUCCCACUAAGACAAGCUUUUUCAACUUUUCUGGUACAUACAAGUAGGGUUUUUUAUAGUUUAAUAGACACGUUUGUCUUUGAAGAAUUUAGCUAAAGCUAAAAUAGUAGCAGUUCUACUUAACUAAGCAAAUAGAUGAAUAUAAUAAACAUUUCAACAAAUAUUGAUUUAAUAUUAAAACCAGUACUAAUUAUUACAGGUAUGCUUCAGAAUAUGCUUAUUUCUCCUUAUUUCACUGCUUGGAGCGGUGAUGAUUGAGGUCUAGGGGGGCAUAUUGCAUAAAGUGCAGCCCUCUAGUGGUAGAGGUCACAGGGAGUUUAAAGCAAGCUGUGUUUUCUGUCAUGGGUGGGGAGCAAUGAAAUACAAGCAACCUAGGACACCGCCCUGCGCUAUAUCAGCCUCCGGCUUUGGUCAUGGUCCAAAGCGCAAGCAAAAGUAGUUGUGGAGGCCUGUAGUACAGCCUUGCUCCCACUCCAUCGUGAUUUCUAUGGAGAAAGGACCGAUGGAAAAGUAAAAAAAAGUCUCUAUCAUCAGAGUUUUCCUCUUUUUUCCAAAUCUGUAAUCUGUUGCUCCGCUUUUCCUUUUCAGCCAGCUCUAGACUGGCAUAUCUAACCAGAGAUGGUUGAAGCUGUCGUAGGAUCUCGAUUCCUUUUCUGCUUCUUUCAGCCAUGUCCUACCAGCCAAUGUAUUCUAUAACUUCAGUAUGAGUGAGUUCAGUGAUAGCGUAAAAUACAAAUUCAAUUUGCCAGCUUUAUUUCUAAAAACGCUCUUGGCUGGUGGAGGUGUGGAUGGUAGCGUUCAAACUAAUCUCUCCCACAGACAUGAGAGCUGUGCUUAGAAAUGAAAGGGAUUAGGGAGAGGCAUAAACCAAAGCAAUUAAGCAUGUAUUUUAACAAAUAGAAAUCUGCAGAAUAACUGAGGUGAAGUUCUAGUAAGCAUCACCUAAUCUGAUCAAGUUCACUUUGUCGAACAAGACUCAGCCUCCUGUUUCUUGUAGAGGUGAUGGUUAUUUCUCCGCUGACUAACAGAAUGAAAAGUUUGUUUUUCCCCUUAUGGGAAAUACAACAGAGCCCAAUAAUCAUUAGAUGAAAAACGAUACCUCUUAAACAUCCCGGCUUGGUAAAAGAAAACAGAUACAGUCUUUGUCCAAAAUGAUGCCGCUACUAUUGGCAGUUUUUCGUUACUGAAUGAUUGCUGGGAUUCCUGGUAAACUUUGGCUCCACUAAAAUUGCGGUUAGUGAUGAACUCAGAAGUCUCUUUCAAGUCUUUAACUUCUGCCUUCUUUUUGUCAAACUUUUUUUUUUCUCCAAUAAUCUAUUAGUUUAACUAUUAUUAUUGAUUAAAUUAUCCAAUUGUUGCUUUUUAAAAUACUGCAGAAGUUGUUCACCAGUAAAAACCUUUGAGUUUCAGUGGAACUUCUCCAAGAUCGCAGCAAUAUUAAUCUUAAUGAAAAUCAAACUCAGGGUUUGGAAAAACAAAAGCCAAAUAUGUAUUAGACAGAAAGUGACCUGAUUAUCUAUUUUCCCAUGCUUCUAUUCCUUUUAUCUGCACCUCUAUUAUAUGCAUUACAUUAUAUGUUUAUAGUCGCACUUUUCACAGAAAAGAGCACAGACAACUGCUAAACCCAUUCAUAUUCUAGACCAUUUCUGUGUAGUAGCUUUCUUUUUCCAGUAAACUGAGGAUGGUAACUUAAAAUCAGUAAUAAUUUGACCACACUGUUUAUCAUAACAUAACUAUAUUGGCCAAAACUCCCUUUCUACUGGUAGAAGGAGAGAGCGUGUCUCGGAAAUCAAUGUCCAUUUCUGCUGUCUCGGCAAAGAGAUCACCUGCCGCCUCCUAUUCCCACAAUAUUCAUCAAAAUUUGCAAAGGCUUUGUUAGACUUUUCUUCAGGAAUACAGAACUGAUUUUUUCUCAGUUCCACAUUACUGAAUCUGUAGAUCAGAUUUAUAAGCUGUUCCUCGUUUUUUUUAUACUUGGGGUUACCUGAGGACCUUUCCAGAGCUCAGUGUGAAAAAACAAGGUAGCCUCAGGACAAGAUCAUUUUUCAUCCCUCCCAAGAAAUUGAAUACAUGGAUCAGGGCAUGAUCCAUGAAACUCCAGUGGCUAGACACUUACCCCAAAAAGGCAUCUCCAUGGUGAUCUUUCUGUACAGUAAUUUAAAGACCUUUUAUUUCUCAGAAUGAAAGAAAUUGAAGACACUAUUUCAUUUGCCUUCCAAUAAUAGUAGUAUUUUCAGUUUUGGCUUUUUGUGUUGGUUCUUUUGUUUGUUUGUUUGUUUUAAUAGGAAAAUAGAUAAUUCAGGGAUUAAAACUGGUACAAACUGGGAGUAAUUAAUUGUAAUGAUACAAUGAUGUAACACAGUAUGUGAGAAAUAGCAGGAUCACCUUGUGUAGCUUAUGUCAGUCUACGGUGUUACUGAUUCUGUACCUCUUAGCACUGUCUUACAAAAUAACAUUGGUGAAGCACCUCUUCCAACUGAAUGCAGCCAGCUAUCACUCCAGAUGCUUCAGGAUGUAUUCCUCUAACAGGAUGGUGAAGAGGGCAUUUUUCAAGGAAUCAACAUACCCAUUUCCAAUCUCUUAUUAUAAUUGCUCUAGCACUAUCACUAUUUUAUGUCUCAUUUUGCCCACCCACCACCAACCGUUUUACUUCUUUGAAAUAUUGGCACUUCAGGAUAAAUGAAAUAUGAAAAAGAGAGGUGUUAACAGCAAAAUUAGUUUCUUUCUUUGUCUUGUCGAGCCUGGUCCCCUUCCUGAGAACCGAAAGACCUAGAACAAUGCAGCACCCCCUAAGCGGUCAUAAGGACACCUCUGCUAGGGCUCAGCCAUGCUCCCAAAGAGACUAACACCAUCUUGAUUGUCCUCAUAAAUUAAAACUAGUGAAAACAGGUUGUACUUUUAAAUGUAGUCUUACAAUAUAGGACCUUAUUCAGGAUUCUUGAAGCCUGGAAGUUUGCUAAAGUUCUGCUGACAAAUGAGAGUUAUUUUAGUGGAGAAGAUCAGAAAUACUGCCGGAAAAGGAAUGGAAAGGGGGGCAAGUAAACAUGUUGCAGAGGGGACAAAGGAAAAACAAGAAUGAGACAAUGAAGUCAAAGGAACUGUCUUUUCUGUGCUAUGUUUUAUAUUAAAUUAUGUAGCAAAAUUUGAGUUGCUCUGCUCAUUUUGCUCACUGCCAAAAUGUGUACUGCUUGAGAUCAUGAAAGACAAAUAUAUCCUAGUAAAAUUUUACUAGUAGACUUUCCUACUGCUAACCACCACCAAAGCCCACUUUUUUCCAGUAUAAUUUGUAAUCAAUCUUUCAAAUAAUAAGCUAUUACAGAAAAAGUAAUUUUUACAAGUAUAAUACUAUUAUAACAGUAGGCUUUUUGCCAACGGAAAGGUAAUAAAAGUCAUAGCUCUAAUAUUAUUGCAGUAGUAAUAGUUCCUAGUAGAGAUCCAGAGAUCUUUAAAAAUACUUUCUAAAGGUUUACCAUAGAAAAAUGCAUGUGCUAGUAGAUUACAAAUUAAUUUCCAAGAUUGUAGGUAAUUGUUACUGCUUUUAAGAAUAAGAAGUUACACUGGGAACCUCCAACUGAUUCUUCCCUAGAGUUUGGCAAAUGCCUUGGAGUUUUUUCUUGAUGAAAUAAUUUUACUUCACCAACAAAAAUUAACGAUUCCAGUGCUUUGUAUUUCUACCCGCUUGAAAUCAAUUACUACAAAAUACCCCUGAAUUGGAAAGUCUCCUGGUGGGGGAAGGUAAACAUAUAAAACUUAUUGUCAGGAUAAAUUGGCCAGAAUGAUUUGGCACAUAUCCUCAGAGUUUGCCAUGAAAACAUGUAUCCACGUGUCAGCUGCACACAAAGGCGAUCUGGCCCCAGAAGCAUGGGGAUUAGACGUAAUGCUGCCUCUCUGAGACAAAGGGUAUUCCUUAGUGCAGUGAGGUUAAAACAGACAGCUCAUCAGUAGUACAAGUCUAUCUAAAUUAUUCAGUUACUGUUUUGAGCCAGAAGGAAGGGUGGCAGAUUAUUAAUUACUUUUGGGGUUUAUUCAUCUUGUUAUUUUGUUUCAGUGAAAGCAGCACUGGAAACAUGAAAAGGAACCAAAAUAUGAGACCACUUUGACUUUAAUCACUUAUAAGAUAUGGUAUCGUUUUCUUAUUUUAAUAGUUGCAAAAUACAACUGAUUUGAUUUACAUUUCAGUAAGACUUAUCAUGAAGUUGCUACGAAUGUUUGUAAGUGGCUGCAUGACUUUAAAUUCAAUCAAAGUGAAUGGAACAACUCAUAUGCUCGAAGUAAAGCAUACGUUUGCCUACCUUACUGAAUUAAUGUUUCGUUUGUUUUCAGUUCAAUGGGAGAGAGCCGCGUUGCUUCAAUACUGCAGAUUUAGGCCACCAAAUCUCACCCAAGUAUGCAGUAACUCAAUGGGAAUCUUUCUGCUGCAGCCCUGAUCACCUUUCUGAAUAUGUGACUUUUAAACAUUUUCUUCAAAGAAGUUAUGAUUUGCUUUAAAUGUUCCACAUACAUAUAUUAUGUGUAAAACCUUUGGUUUUUUAAACCCUUCAGAUAAAAGAUAGAGUUCCAUGGACCUACUCGAUGAAAACAGUUCCAUUGACUUCAAGGGGUUUUAAGUCAUUCAAUACAAAAUACUAAAGGGGAAAAAAUAGUGGAGAGAGGAAGGAAACUGUAAGAAAUAUUAACAUAAAAUGCAAAGCAUUCAUGCAAUGAGGGAGAUUCUCUUCAUAUUCUAGUGAUGGGCAAUUUGAAUUAAUUUUGCACAAAAAUAUUUAGGGAUAUGAAAUAGAAAUAUAUAAAAAAAGUAUUUAGAAAUACAUAAUUUAUCCUUUUUAAAUUAUACAUCAGCAAAAUAACAGCUGGUAUAUAAUUUAAAAUUUGGCAGUUACAAAAGUGAAAACUAAAGACACACUUUCCAAUAAUUAAGAAUCACAAAUUAAGGUGAAAAUCUUUACAUAGAGAUUUUUCAUGUUGAUAAUAAGCAGAUAUAAAUACAAUGUUAUAGAAAGUUACGUUUUACACGUAUAUAUGUGUGUGUGUGUAUAUAUAUAAAAAGCCUGUUUCCUGUAAUUUUUCUGUGUAGUAUUUUGUUUGUAAUAUUUUAGCCAAGUAGGAAGACUCCUGUCUCAAAACUUCUAAAUAUUUGUGUUCUUGUUGUUCUUAUUUUCAUUUAGAGGUUUAAGCUGUUUGCUCUAGAACAGAAGUCAUAUAUUGAAACAGUAAAAAUAAAAUUACUGCAGAACUGAGUCACUGCAAGUGAGAUGAAUGCCCAUAAAAAAGUACAAAUCACAAAAUCCAGAAACGGGAUCAUCGUGCGUAUUAGCAACAACGCUUACAGAUUCAUCGAGGCUCACAACAAAGAAAUAUGCUGCAGAUUUGAAUUUGAAUCAAGUUACUCCACUGGCUGUAAUCAAUAAUUCUCCAAGAAUUAACCAACUAGAACAGGAAUUUGCAAAUAAAAGCUAAGAAUUCUGAUGACUAAGGCUGGGAAUUUGGAGGAGAAAUGGGAACAUGUGGGGUACAUCACGUUGGUUAUUUCCUGGUCGGAGAGCGUGUAAAAGAAUGAAGUGAUGAGUGCCGUCUCGUCACAACAGCAGACCAAAAUAGCAAGCUGGUAUAUAAAAUAACAUGAGGGAAGGUGGUCACAGGCUUGUCCUCUCAUCUGUCACUAGGCCUUUUAAUCAGGCUGUGAAUAGCAAGUCAGCAUGAUGUAAUGCUGCUGGUUAUUAUGCAGAGAUCUAAUGGCUGCCUCUCCUCUGCCCAAUUACAGCAUUCUCAGAAGUUCCCUCAGGACAACAUCACCUGACCACUCAGGCUACACAGAGCUCAGUGGUCCCCUCUGGGUGCCCUUAAAACACCACGUCUGAGCUCACAAGAGGAUUCCCCGAAAGUGCCAGGCUCUGAGAGUGACCUCACGCAUACCCUCCAUAUGAACCACAUCCUUUCACCUCCAUUAUGCACGGUUCCACUCUGCUGCAUGAAAUUCCCAGAGCAGCGUAGCACGACUGCCCGGCUUUCAUCCUGCACGGGCAGGAUGCACAUGCUCUCUCACAUCACAGCACGCACCUUAGGUACGUGAAAGAUCUUGCAUUAAGAAGACGAGCAGUUUUGGCCCGCAUCAGACAAAAAGCCUUGACGUGUAUAACUGCCAUAAAACCCAGGGAGAGUUCACCUAGUUAUGUUUAAAUCGUUUCUUAAACACUCUUCCGCAGAGGGAAUUAUGAAUGGGAAAUAUCACCCCAAAGUGUGUUUUGCAAUUUUAUGGAGAAAAACAGGAAUAAUAUUCUAUUUUACUGUGAAGUUAGAACUCAGAAUUUCAGUGGAUCAUUCGAACAGCAAAAAAUAAUUCUGCAAAUAAAUUACAUUUUUAUUGUGAGCUGUAGUAUUGUUAUCAGCACAGAUUAGUAAACUAUGAAAUAAGGAAACAACAUGGAGACCCUCUGCGCUCAGUCACAAACAGGCUAUAGAAAUGUCAUCACUAGCUGACAUUUCAGUUGUGAAAGUUUCUCAUUUCCUGCAAGCUUAGGCAAAUGAGGGAUCUAAGCUAUAUUUUAUUUUUUAUGGCUACAUUUUCCGGCAGUCAGCUGUUUCAGAUUGACAAUAAAAUUCCUAACGGUAGUUGUUUGUUCUUCUUUUGGGAAGUUUCUUUGGCAGGUUUUAUCAGCUUAAUAGUUGUUCUCCUGCUACUCAAGAGUGCUGAAGGCUGUGCUUAGAGUGAGGAACAGCAAACAAAGGUGUUGCCUUUGCAUCUUCCAUGGCCUGUAAGACCCUAAAUGUUGUCACCAUCCUUGUUAUUGUCUUCCCCAUUCAUAAUUUUUCACUGUGUAUUUGUCCUAAUGUUUAAUAUCAGGUAUUUUAAUAUGGAUUUUCUGAAUAAAGGGUGCUUAAUUCAUUGUCUGCUUUCUUAUAACUAUUUCUCCCGUUGGAUAUGCAUAUCAUAUGGUAUGUAUGUUCUUUGAAUAUGUCCCAGUUGUGUGAGUGAGCCAAACCCAAUGACGAAAUGCAAGAGAAGGAAAAUUAUUCAAAAAUAUAUAAUUUUUAAUUCACAUCCUCCUAACAAUAUGGAAUUUACUUGCAAAGCCUUUUUAAUAAUUUACAAAAAAAAAAUAAAAAGAAAACAAAACAAACUACUUGAGACAACAUCUGGUCUGGAAACCUUAUGUUACAGAUUUCAAAUGGCAUUCUCCCGAUCGGUAUCAAUGGGUCCAUCAGAAUGUCUUCCAAACCAUUAUCUGUCAUCUGUGAUGAGGAGUGCAAACUCCUUGAGGUAAAAACAAUAUAUACAUAGUAUUGAGAGCAUUGAUAGCACUUGAUAAUGGUAAAGGGGUUUAUGAUCAUAUACUCUAAUUUUUAAAUGCUUUUAUUUGAAAUUUGUAUUGUAAAGAUGAUGCUAGCAGCUAAGUGAGAACUUGUGACUCAUGAAAAGAUAACUGGAAGGCAUGUGUUAUGGCUUUCCAUUCUGUUCUAGACAUUUAAUAACAAUUGCUGGAAGGGAACAAGGAAGUCUGUCAUUCCCAUUGCUUAAUCCAACAAAUACCUUCACUGGCAUUAAGAAAGUUACUGGUGUGAGCAAGAGUUGUGGACUCAAGAACUUAAUCUGGCAAUGACUGAGCUGAGAGUUCUUGAGCCACAGGAGGAGAAACUGCUGGAGAUGUGGCUGCCCUUGUGUGUGUCAAGUUCAGAUCAUGCUACAUGGGUUCCAGGACACGAGGGCUGUUACCAGCAAGCCCAUUAUCUCCCAAAUGUGUAAAAACACAUAUAUGGUAUAUGCAUCAGGGUUUCUAAAUUCCUUUUUAUAUGGAUGUCCAUGCCUGGUUCGCUGCUGGACUGCUUCUGGACUGUUGACUGAAAAACAGCAUGUAAUAUUGCUAUACUAUUGCAUGCUUAUUGCUGAUAAAACCAGGCUAACAGCUGAGAGAGCUGGUUUUUUUGUUUUUAUUUGUCAGACCGUAAAACUGAAAUGUUAAUUUCGCCUUCAACAAUAUCUAAUUAGUAACAGUUCCUAUUCAAAAUCUUUAUUUUUAUUGGCUUGAGUUACACUCCAUUUUUUAUAAAGUGUUCUACAAAAUGACUUUUUUAUCAUUUCUUUUAAACUUCAUUAUCUUUUUGAUGACACAGUAAUUUUCACUUCUAUUUCUUAAUCUCCUUUCAGCCAACUUUUUUACUUUGAUUUUUCUCUACAGCAGUGCAUGAUUUUACUCAUCUAUUUUGAUAACUUUUAAUGGAAAUUUACUUUAUCAUAAGGACACCCUACUACUUUUAGAUGGGUUGUGUUUGCCUUCCUAAAAGACUUCUUAAAAGCUGGCUCUCUGCGGCACCUAUUAAAAAUAAUAAAACUGUCCCCCUAGGAUAUAGCUAAGAUCCUAGGAGGUGAACAGAUCAUCAAGAACCUGAAACAGUUUGCAACCGUGUCAGAUAGCUUUGAUAGUCUUUGCAAUCUGUACUAGAGAGUGAUCCUCUCCGCAGCUCAAAGAGAGAGCUCAGGUACUGUAAAGAUUGGCUGACUCUUGUAAAUGCAGUUUUCCUCUAGCUGAAAAAUACAGAUAGGAGCUGAAAUAAUGUGUAAGACAAGCAUCUUGAUGAUAGUCAUUUAUAGAAUUUUUAUCUCCCUGUGAAACAGUUCGAUAAGCUUUUACAGUAUUUUGCAAAACUUUUUUCUGAGUUUAUAAUCAUGGCCUGUUGUCUCUCUAAAUUGGAGGAAGACAUUAUUGGAUCCUUUUUUGGAUACUUGAUGUCUAGCAUUAGGCUUUAAAGCUUCUGUAUCGUGGAGAAACUUUCGAAUAAUCUCCUUUUAGGAUAUUUUUCUUCUAACAUAUAUAAGUUUGAAAGGUUUGAAAAGGAGUCGGUGGCAAGGGGGUCUUAGGGCUAUCUAGUUAUGAACCAAACAAAAGGUAACAGGGGCACAUGAAUUAUGCAAGGUCAUUGGAAGUGCAGAACUAGAAAACUCUUAUAGAGAAUUUUUUUAAAAAUUACUGACUGUGAGCCUAGCAAAAUUGCAUUUACUGGCCAUAACAAGUUGAACAAGACCGUUACAUUUUUUGAGCAAAUAAUAUUAAUCUUUCUUUUUUACAUGACAGCUUUUCAAAUAAUGGAAAACCUGAUUCCUUUUCAGUUACUUUAAGAAACUAAAUCAAGUGUAAAUCUCACCAAUAAAAUCACCACUUGCAUUUGAGACUUCAUCCAUGCCAAUGUAGCACUGCAGUAUUUAAACUCUUUUUCCCAGUCUGCAUCAUAAUUUGCAAAUCACUAAGUGCAGAGAGCUGCAAAGCGGCUGUAGGAACAAAGGACCUACUUUUUGAUUGCAGUUGUUUUUUGUUAACAUAGCUUACCUGCAUCAUAGGCUUAAGCUAAUAAACAUUCAUUUCAUAUUUCUA